rnacentral:rRNA from 1 species
AACCUACCCGUCAACCGGGGCAUAACGCCGAGAAAUUGGCGCUAAUAUCCCAUGUGUAUUGGAAGUGGCAUCACUAUCAAUAUAAAGAUCCGUUGGUUAAGGAUGGGCAUGCGUAACAUUAGCUAGUUGCGGGUAAGGCCCACCAAGGCGACGAUGUUUAGGGGUUCUGAGAGGAUUCACCCCCACACUGGAACUGAGACACGGUCCAGACUCCUACGGGAGGCAGCAGUAGGGAAUAUUGGGCAAUGGAGGCAACUCUGACCCAGCCAUGCCCGCGUGAAGGAAGACGGCCCUAUGGGUUGUAAACUUCUUUUGCCGCAGAGUAACCCGGGGGACGCGUCCCCCGCUGAGAGUAUGCGGCGAAUAAGUAUCGGCUAACUCCGUGCCAGCCGCAGC